GCCAGGCACAUUGGCUCAUGCCUGUAAUCCCAGCAGCUCAGGAGGCUGAGACAGGAGGAUCAGGAGUCCAAAAACCAGCCUCAGCAACGGCAAGGUGCUAAGUAACUCAGUGAGACCCUGUCUCUA
rnacentral:sRNA from 1 species